AAGAUUCCUUGCGAGCACCCUGUCCUUAGACAUAGCAUCAUUAUAUAAUAAUCUUCUCUAAUAUCCAAGUAAGCUGGAUAGUAAUAAAUAGAUACAAAUUCAACAUUCCAAGAUGGACUCUAAUCUAAAUUGCACAAAACAAACAAGGGAUCCAAUUUCCUAUAAAGUUAAGAGAUUGCAGAACUUGACAGACACAACAAACAUGAGAUCACCGACAAAAGAUUGAAACUUUAACAACAGUAGUUUCUCAAAACUAGGAACAACAGAACUAAUAAGCAACCCACCAUCAAUUGAUUAGCUAAAGAUAAAGAAAACAACUCAAAUUUAAAAAAAACUGAUUACAAAGACAGUGAUUCAAAUUAGAAAAACGCAUAAAAACCAACCGAAGAUAGAAUUAAGGGAAAAUGGAGGAUUAAGAAAGGUGAGUAUUGAACCUGUUCAUCGUUG